rnacentral:rRNA from 1 species
CAUGAAGUCGGAAUCGCUAGUAAUCGUAGAUCAGAAUGCUACGGUGAAUACGUUCCCGGGCCUUGUACACACCGCCCGUCACACCAUGGGAGUGGGUUGCAAAAGAAGUAGGUAGCUUAACCUUCGGGAGGGCGCUUACCACUUUGUGAUUCAUGACUGGGGUGAAGUCGUAACAAGGUAACCGUAGGGGAACCUGCGGUUGGAUCACCUCCUUACCU